GUCAAUUGUGUCAGGUCCCAGGUGUUUCAAAUAUAUAAAAAAAUAUAUCGUAAACAGCAGAUGGUCCAGCACGGUUAUAUUAAAUGACCUUGUAUGCAUAGCUGUGUUUUUCAUGGCAUGUUGCUUUUGAGAGUUGGGGGACGAACAAGAUAACUCUUCAAUUUAGAAAACAUCCAGAAAAGGCGAGAUGAAGCUAGCUGUUGUAUUUCUAAUAACCGCGCUGGUGAUGGUUUGUCAGGGCGCAGCUGUUCAGAAAUGUGUUGACAAUGGAACCAGGUGUCUCGUUGACCCUUGCCUUACAGCCAAAUGUUCCGUUGGAUUUGCUUGCACGAACUGUAACUGUGUAGCAAGUUGCGUGAGUUCAACCACAAAGGGAUGAUCAAAGUUAUCUAACAUGAGGUCAAAAUUAGUCUCCUGUGUAGAUAUUUGCAUUAGGUGUUUUUUGUUUUAACCAACUAUUUGUGAUUGAAAUUCAAGCAAAUAAAUAUUUCUGAAUAAAAUUAUAUUUACAAAAUUACAA